GAUGAACGCUGGCGGCGUGCCUAAUACAUGCAAGUAGAACGCUGAAGGAAGGAGCUUGCUCUUUCCGGAUGAGUUGCGAACGGGUGAGUAACGCGUAGGUAACCUGCCUGGUAGCGGGGGAUAACUAUUGGAAACGAUAGCUAAUACCGCAUAACAACAGUUGUUGCAUGACAGCUGUUUAAAAGGUGCAAAUGCACCACUACCAGAUGGACCUGCGUUGUAUUAGCUAGUUGGUGAGGUAACGGCUCAUCAAGGCGACGAUACAUAGCCGACCUGAGAGGGUGAUCGGCCACGCUGGGGCUGAGACACGGCCCAGACUCCUACGGGAGGCAGCAGUAGGGAAUCUUCGGCAAUGGACGGAAGUCUGACCGAGCAACGCCGCGUGAGUGAAGAAGGUUUUCUGAUCGUAAAGCUCUGUUGUAAGAGAAGAACGAGUGUGAGAGUGGAAAGUUCACACUGUGACGGUAUCUUACCAGAAAGGGACGGCUAACUACGUGC
rnacentral:rRNA from 1 species